rnacentral:rRNA from 1 species
UGAGGAAUAUUGGUCAAUGGGCGAGAGCCUGAACCAGCCACGUCGCGUGAAGGAAGACUGACCUUACGGUUUGUAAACUUCUUUUGUAGAGGGGUAAUGGCAGAUACGUGUAUUUGCGUGAAAGUACUCUACGAAUAAGCAUCGGCUAACUCCGUGCCAGCAGCCGCGGUAAUACGGGGGAUGCGAGCGUUAUCCGGAAUUAUUGGGCGUAAAGAGCUUGUAGGCGGUUCGUCGCGUCUGGUGUGAAAGCCCAUCGCUUAACGGUGGGUUUGCGCCGGGUACGGGCGGGCUAGAGUGCAGUAGGGGAGACUGGAAUUCCCGGUGUAACGAUGGAAUGUGUAGAUAUCGGGAAGAACACCAAUGGCGAAGGCAGGUCUCUGGGCUGUUACUGACGCUGAGAAGCGAAAGCGUGGGGAGCGAACAGG